rnacentral:rRNA from 1 species
UAAUGCUUGGGAAUCUAGCUUAUGAGGGGGAGUAACUACGGGAAACGUGUAGCUAAUACCGCGUAAUAUCGAGAGAUGAAAGUGUGGGACCUUCGGGCCACAUGCCAUAGGAUGAGCCCAAGUGGGAUUAGGUAGUUGGUGAGGUAAAGGCUCACCAAGCCGACGAUCUCUAGCUGGUCUGAGAGGAUGACCAGCCACACUGGGACUGAGACACGGCCCAG